rnacentral:rRNA from 1 species
GGGGUAAGUGGAAUUCCAUGUGUAGCGGUAAAAUGCAUAGAGAUAUGGAGGAACACCAGUGGCGAAGGCGGCUUACUGGUCUGGAAUUGACACUGAGGCACGAAAGCGUGGGUAGCAAACAGGAUUAGAUACCCUGGUAGUCCACGCCGUAAACGAUGAGCACUAAGUGUCGGACGAAAGUUCGGUGCUGUAGUUAACGCAUUAAGUGCUCCGCCUGGGGAGUACGGUCGCAAGACUGAAACUCAAAGGAAUUGACGGGGACUCGCACAAGCGGUGGAGCAUGUGGUUUAAUUCGACGCAACGCGAAAAACCUUACCAGGCCUUGACAUCCCUUUGACGGGUGUAGAAAUACGCCUUUUCCCUUCGGGGGACAGAGGAGACAGGUGGUGCAUGGUUGUCGUCAGCUCGUGUCGUGAGAUGUUGGGUUAAGUCCCGCAACGAGCGCAACCCUUAUCAUUAGUUGCUAACAUUAAGUUGAGAACUCUAAUGAGACUGCCAGCGACAAGUUGGAGGAAGGUGGGGAUGACGUCAAAUCAUCAUGCCCCUUAUGGCCUGGGCUACACACGUGCUACAAUGGCCGGUACAAAGAGUGGCGAUACCGCGAGGUGGAGCAAAUCUCAAAAAACCGGUCUCAGUUCAGAUUGUAGUCUGCAACUCGACUACAUGAAGUCGGAAUCGCUAGUAAUCGUAAAUCAGCAUGUUACGGUGAAUACGUUCUCGAGUCUUGUACACACCGCCCGUCACACCAUGAGAGUUUGUAAUACCCGAAGCCGGUGGCCUAACCGAAAGGAGGGAGCCGUCUAAGGUAGGACAGAUGAUUGGGGUGAAGUCGUAACAAGGUAACCGUA